GGGUUGUGAGGUUAAGCGACUAAGCGUACACGGUGGAUGCCCUGGCAGUCAGAGGCGAUGAAGGACGUGCUAAUCUGCGAUAAGCGUCGGUAAGGUGAUAUGAACCGUUAUAACCGGCGAUUUCCGAAUGGGGAAACCCAGUGUGAUUCGUCACACUAUCAUUAACUGAAUCCAUAGGUUAAUGAGGCGAACCGGGGGAACUGAAACAUCUAAGUACCCCGAGGAAAAGAAAUCAACCGAGAUUCCCCCAGUAGCGGCGAGCGAACGGGGAGCAGCCCAGAGCCUGAAUCAGUGUGUGUGUUAGUGGAAGCGUCUGGAAAGGCGCGCGAUACAGGGUGACAGCCCCGUACACAAAAAUGCACAUGCUGUGAGCUCGAUGAGUAGGGCGGGACACGUGGUAUCCUGUCUGAAUAUGGGGGGACCAUCCUCCAAGGCUAAAUACUCCUGACUGACCGAUAGUGAACCAGUACCGUGAGGGAAAGGCGAAAAGAACCCCGGCGAGGGGAGUGAAAAAGAACCUGAAACCGUGUACGUACAAGCAGUGGGAGCACAGAGCAAUCUGUGUGACUGCGUACCUUUUGUAUAAUGGGUCAGCGACUUAUAUUCUGUAGCAAGGUUAACCGAAUAGGGGAGCCGAAGGGAAACCGAGUCUUAACUGGGCGUUAAGUUGCAGGGUAUAGACCCGAAACCCGGUGAUCUAGCCAUGGGCAGGUUGAAGGUUGGGUAACACUAACUGGAGGACCGAACCGACUAAUGUUGAAAAAUUAGCGGAUGACUUGUGGCUGGGGGUGAAAGGCCAAUCAAACCGGGAGAUAGCUGGUUCUCCCCGAAAGCUAUUUAGGUAGCGCCUCGUGAAUUCAUCUCCGGGGGUAGAGCACUGUUUCGGCAAGGGGGUCAUCCCGACUUACCAACCCGAUGCAAACUGCGAAUACCGGAGAAUGUUAUCACGGGAGACACACGGCGGGUGCUAACGUCCGUCGUGAAGAGGGAAACAACCCAGACCGCCAGCUAAGGUCCCAAAGUCAUGGUUAAGUGGGAAACGAUGUGGGAAGGCCCAGACAGCCAGGAUGUUGGCUUAGAAGCAGCCAUCAUUUAAAGAAAGCGUAAUAGCUCACUGGUCGAGUCGGCCUGCGCGGAAGAUGUAACGGGGCUAAACCAUGCACCGAAGCUGCGGCAGCGACGCUGAUGCGUUGUUGGGUAGGGGAGCGUUCUGUAAGCCUGCGAAGGUGUGCUGUGAGGCAUGCUGGAGGUAUCAGAAGUGCGAAUGCUGACAUAAGUAACGAUAAAGCGGGUGAAAAGCCCGCUCGCCGGAAGACCAAGGGUUCCUGUCCAACGUUAAUCGGGGCAGGGUGAGUCGACCCCUAAGGCGAGGCCGAAAGGCGUAGUCGAUGGGAAACAGGUUAAUAUUCCUGUACUUGGUGUUACUGCGAAGGGGGGACGGAGAAGGCUAUGUUGGCCGGGCGACGGUUGUCCCGGUUUAAGCGUGUAGGCUGGUUUUCCAGGCAAAUCCGGAAAAUCAAGGCUGAGGCGUGAUGACGAGGCACUACGGUGCUGAAGCAACAAAUGCCCUGCUUCCAGGAAAAGCCUCUAAGCAUCAGGUAACAUCAAAUCGUACCCCAAACCGACACAGGUGGUCAGGUAGAGAAUACCAAGGCGCUUGAGAGAACUCGGGUGAAGGAACUAGGCAAAAUGGUGCCGUAACUUCGGGAGAAGGCACGCUGAUAUGUAGGUGAAG
rnacentral:rRNA from 1 species